AAGUCGUAACAAGGUUUCCGUAGGUGAACCUGCGGAAGGAUCAUUAAUGAAAUUGUAAAGGUUAAGGUUGAUGCUGGCGGUCACCCGCAUGUGCUCGCUUUUUCCGACAACUUUUUUAUCCAUACACCUGUGCACAUCUUGAAGGGGGAAGACGGCGAUAAUGUAGCCAUUUUCCUCUUUCAUACUUUGUAACAAACUCUUUACUAUAACAUUGAACAAUCAAUUGUGCCGAAAGGCCUUUUAAACAAAUACAACUUUUAACAACGGAUCUCUUGGCUCUC
rnacentral:misc_RNA from 1 species